UAUUUUCGCACUGUAUUUAGUACACUAAAGGAUAGUGUAAAAGGGAAUGGGGUGAGAUGCCUCAACUUUUCCAGAAGCUGUAAGGUUCGUAUAAUUUGAAUACCGCAAUGCCACUGUUUAAAUAACGGGAAGGCCAAUUCAAAGGACCAAGUCAGAAGACCUGCUAAAUGCCAUUAUGUUAA
rnacentral:ncRNA from 2 species